CAAUCGGCCCUUUUCAGGGUCAACAAUUGUGUAAUAAAGAGUUAUU
rfam:Aedes aegypti strain Liverpool supercont1.2 genomic scaffold, whole genome shotgun sequence.